UGUGAAGUCAGCAACAAAAAGAGCUUUCUGAGCAGCUGCAAAAUGUUUUUAACUUGAAGUGGAAGUUGGGGUCACUGGCAUCGUCAGGCCUGAACAGUCACUCUCAGCAAGGGCUCUCUCAGCUCUGACAUUGACUAGCUUACGGACUCGGGACCACAAUCCUCUCUCUGCCUGGUCGUCCUUCUUUGCGGUUCAUCUGCUCGGGUAGCCUCGAAACCGCAGCUCGGCGACAGGGGUCCCCACGGGGACCAGAGGUGCUCAAGCGCGCUCAGGU